CACGUAGGGGGCAAGCGUUGUCCGGAUUUAUUGGGCGUAAAGAGCUCGUAGGUGGUUCGGCAAGUCGGGUGUGAAAACUCUGGGCUCAACUCAGAGACGCCACCCGAUACUGCGGUGACUCGAGUCUGGUAGGGGAGUGUGGAAUUCCCAGUGUAGCGGUGAAAUGCGCAGAUAUUGGGAGGAACACCAGUGGCGAAGGCGGCACUCUGGGCCAGUACUGACACUGAGGAGCGAAAGCGUGGGUAGCGAACAGG
rnacentral:rRNA from 1 species